rnacentral:rRNA from 1 species
AGAGUUUGAUCCUGGCUCAGGAUGAACGCUAGCUACAGGGCUUAACACAUGCAAGUCGAGGGGCAGCAUUUUAGUUUGCUUGCAAACUGAAGAUGGCGACCGGCGCACGGGUGAGUAACACGUAUCCAACCUGCCGAUAACUCCGGAAUAGCCUUUCGAAAGAAAGAUUAAUACCGGAUAGCAUACGAAUAUCGCAUGAUAUUUUUAUUAAAGAAUUUCGGUUAUCGAUGGGGAUGCGUUCCAUUAGUUUGUUGGCGGGGUAACGGCCCACCAAGACUACGAUGGAUAGGGGUUCUGAGAGGAGGGUCCCCCACAUUGGAACUGAGACACGGUCCAAACUCCUACGGGAGGCAGCAGUGAGGAAUAUUGGUCAAUGGGCGAGAGCCUGAACCAGCCAAGUAGCGUGAAGGAUGAAGGCUCUAUGGGUCGUAAACUUCUUUUAUAUGGGAAUAAAGUUUUCCACGUGUGGAAUUUUGUAUGUACCAUAUGAAUAAGGAUCGGCUAACUCCGUGCCAGCAGCCGCGGUAAUACGGAGGAUCCGAGCGUUAUCCGGAUUUAUUGGGUUUAAAGGGAGCGUAGGUGGAUUGUUAAGUCAGUUGUGAAAGUUUGCGGCUCAACCGUAAAAUUGCAGUUGAUACUGGA